rnacentral:rRNA from 1 species
UACGUAGGGUGCAGGCGUUAAUCGGAAUUACUGGGCGUAAAGCGUGCGCAGGCGGUUAUGCAAGACAGAUGUGAAAUCCCCGGGCUUAACCUGGGAACCGCAUUUGUGACUGCAUAGCUGGAGUACGGCAGAGGGGGAUGGAAUUCCGCGUGUAGCAGUGAAAUGCGUAGAUAUGCGGAGGAACACCGAUGGCGAAGGCAGUCCCCUGGGCCUGUACUGACGCUCAUGC